rnacentral:rRNA from 1 species
CAGCAGUAGGGAAUCUUCCACAAUGGGCGCAAGCCUGAUGGAGCAACACCGCGUGAGUGAAGAAGGGUUUCGGCUCGUAAAGCUCUGUUGUUAAAGAAGAACACGUAUGAGAGUAACUGUUCAUACGUUGACGGUAUUUAACCAGAAAGUCGCGGCUAACUACGUGCCAGCAGCCGCGGUAAUACGUAGGUGGCAAGCGUUAUCCGGAUUUAUUGGGCGUAAAGAGAGUGCAGGCGGUUUUCUAAGUCUGAUGUGAAAGCCUUCGGCUUAACCGGAGAAGUGCAUCGGAAACUGGAUAACUUGAGUGCAGAAGAGGGUAGUGGAACUCCAUGUGUAGCGGUGGAAUGCGUAGAUAUAUGGAAGAACACCAGUGGCGAAGGCGGCUACCUGGUCUGCAACUGACGCUGAGACUCGAAAGCAUGGGUAGCGAACAGGAUUAGAUACCCUGGUAG